rnacentral:lncRNA from 1 species
AGCAGCAGACAGUUCCAGAUGAUAAUACUUCAAUGUGGACCAAUGCAGCAGCUGAGAACAAACCUUCCUCCGUUAGUGAUCAACCUGGUGGUUGGAAUUCCUGGGGUAAAACACCUGCUUCUGAAGCUGGCACUGUUGGUGGGUGGGGAGAUGCAGCUGCUUCAAAAGCUGAGAACCAACCUUCCUCGGCUAGUGAUCAACCUGGUGGUUGGAAUCCCUGGGGUAAAACACCUGCUUCUGAAGCUGGCACUGUUGGUGGUUGGGGAGAUGGAGGUGCUUCAAAAGUUGAAGCUUCUCCGUGGGAAAAACAAGGAGCUUCUACUUCCAAU